GUCAGGGUAGCUCAGUUUGUAAGAGCGUGGCACUCAUAACGCCAAGGUCGUGGGUUCGACUCCCACCCCUGACA
rnacentral:tRNA from 1 species